CAGCCGCCACGGUAAUACCAGCACCUCGAGUGGUCAGGAGGUUUAUUGGGCCUAAAGCAUCCGUAGCCGGUUGCAUAAGUUUUCGGUUAAAUCUAUGCGCUUAACGUAUAGGCCGCCGAAAAUACUGUGCAGCUAGGGAGUGGGAGAGGUACACGGUACUCGAUAGGAAGGGGUAAAAUCCUUUGAUCUAUUGAUGACCACCUGUGGCGAAGGCGGUGUACCAGAACACGUUCGACGGUGAGGGAUGAAAGCUGGGGGAGCAAACCGGAUUAGAUACCCGGGUAGUCCCUGUCUCUUAUAC
rnacentral:rRNA from 1 species